UACGUAGGGGGCAAGCGUUGUCCGGAUUUAUUGGGCGUAAAGAGCGUGUAGGCGGCCAGGUAGGUCCGUUGUGAAAACUCGAGGCUUAACCUCGAGACGUCGAUGGAAACCAUCUGGCUAGAGUCCGGAAGAGGAGAGUGGAAUUCCUGGUGUAGCGGUGAAAUGCGCAGAUAUCAGGAAGAACACCCGUGGCGAAGGCGACUCUCUGGGACGUGACUGACGCUGAGACGCGAAAUCGUCGAGAGCAAACAGG
rnacentral:rRNA from 1 species